rnacentral:tRNA from 1 species
GCUCCCGUGGCCAAGCUGGUUAAGGCCUCAUGCUUAUAUGAUACUCCUCCGUGGAGGUGUGUUACGUGAAAAUCGCGAGUUCGAUCCUCGCCGGGAGCA